GACGAACGCUGACGGUGUGCUUUAGACAUGCAAGUCGAACGAGAAAGCCCUUCGGGUUAGUAAAGUGGCGAACGGGUGAGUAACACGUGGGCAAUCUGCCCCUCGCAGGGGGACAACCGGAGGAAACUCCGGCUAAUACCCCGUAAGUUCAAAGGGAGGCAUCUCUCUUCGAAGAAAGGUAGCUUCGGCCAUCCGGCGAGGGAUGAGCCCGCGGUGCAUUAGCUAGUUGGUGGGGUAACGGCCUACCAAGGCGACGAUGCAUAGCUGGUCUGAGAGGAUGAUCAGCCACACUGGGACUGAGACACGGCCCAGACUCCUACGGGAGGCAGCAGUCGGGAAUCUUGCGCAAUGGGCGAAAGCCUGACGCAGCAACACCGUGUGUGUGAGGAAGGCCCUCGGGUCGUAAAGCACUGUUGUGGGGGACGAAGGGCGAAGGGUUAAUAGCCCCUAGCUUGACGGUACCCUUCGAGGAACGCCCGGCUAACUACGUGCCAGCAGCCGCGGUAAC
rnacentral:rRNA from 1 species